AGUUUGAUUCCUGGCUCAGAACGAACGCUGGCGCAUGCCUAACACAUGCAAGUCGAACGAGACCUUCGGGUCUAGUGGCGCACGGGUGCGUAACGCGUGGGAAUCUGCCCUUUGCUUCGGAAUAACAGUUAGAAAUGACUGCUAAUACCGGAUGAUGUCUUCGGACCAAAGAUUUAUCGGCAAAGGAUGAGCCCGCGUAGGAUUAGGUAGUUGGUGGGGUAAAGGCCUACCAAGCCGACGAUCCUUAGCUGGUCUGAGAGGAUGAUCAGCCACACUGGGACUGAGACACGGCCCAGACUCCUACGGGAGGCAGCAGUGGGGAAUAUUGGACAAUGGGCGCAAGCCUGAUCCAGCAAUGCCGCGUGAGUGAUGAAGGCCUUCGGGUCGUAAAGCUCUUUUACCAGGGAUGAUAAUGACAGUACCUGGAGAAUAAGCUCCGGCUAACUCCGUG
rnacentral:rRNA from 1 species